GACGAACGCUGGCGGCGUGCCUAAUACAUGCAAGUCGAGCGAGUGAAACUAACUGAUCCCUCCGGGGUGACGUUAGUGGAUCUAGCGGCGGCCGGGUGAGUAACACGUGGGCAACCUGCCUGUAAGACUGGGAUAACUCGCGGAAACGCGAGCUAAUACCGGAUGAUACUUUGAACUGCAUGGUUCGAAGAUGAAAGGCGGCGCAAGCUGUCACUUACAGAUGGGCCCGCGGCGCAUUAGCUAGUUGGUGAGGUAACGGCUCUCCAAGGCGACGAUGCGUAGCCGACCUGAGAGGGUGAUCGGCCACACUGGGACUGAGACACGGCCCAGACUCCUACGGGAGGCAGCAGUAGGGAAUCUUCCGCAAUGGACGAAAGUCUGACGGAGCAACGCCGCGUGAGUGAUGAAGGUUUUCGGAUCGUAAAACUCUGUUGUUAGGGAAGAACAAGUACAAGAGUAACUGCUUGUACCUUGACGGUACCUAACCAGAAAGCCCCGGCUAACUACGUG
rnacentral:rRNA from 1 species